GUCAGUUAAGAACACAUUCUUAUUUUCAAUGACGGCCUAGGAACGAUGCAGAACGACAGAUCUUUAAAAUUGUCAUCUCGGGGAACCCAAUCUUGCAACCUUACAGUUAACUAGUCCAACGUUCUAACCACCUGCCUCACAAGGAGACUGCCUGUUACGCGAAUGCAGUAAGCCAAGAUGGCAGAGAAAAGCAGAGCACCAGUGUGGGACUAUUACAUGGAAUUGGCACCAGGGAAAGCAAGGUGUCUUAUUUGUGAUAAAGAUGUAAGCAUGGGGUCAGCAACGGCUAAAUA